CAAAGCAAAUCGCUGGGAAGAGACCCGGAAUCACUUGGGUAACAACGGCACAUUUUGCAUUCUGUCACCGAGCAAGGCAUCAAAAGCGAAGAGGAGGAUUUAACUCCUUAACCGCCGCACGAUUUUUCGGUCUGGCUUUGUGUGUGUGGCGUGUGCCCGAGAAGAAAACCAUGCCCGAUGCUGACUGGAUCCGGGAAGAGAAUACAACUCAGCUGACAUCUUUUCACGACAGAGGCAGCAAGAAGGCUCAGAAUCAGAAUGUUCUGUGGCAAAAUCUCACUCAGUAGAUGGGAAGGAGAAAAGAGAGAGACCAGCAGGUUGGGGGGCUGGAUAUCACACUGCCAAACAUUUGCAUGGAUUUGAAGACCACACUGUCUGUAAAAGUUGAUGGAGCCCAAGGAGGAACAAAACAGGGACAAUUGAAGCAUAUUCUUCUCAAGCAGAACAACACUUCUGUGGCGAGAGCUGAAGGAAAUGCAUUGUUUUGAUUGGAAUAUUUUUUCAUUAACAGGC